rnacentral:lncRNA from 10 species
AUAAUUAUAUAAAUAUAUAUAAUAUAUAUAUUUUUUGAGACAGAGUCUCACUCUGUCACUAGGCUGGAGUGUAGUGGUGAUCUCGGCUCACUGCAACCUCUGCCUCCCAGGUUCAAGUGAUUCUCCUGCCUCAGCCUCCUGAGUAGCUGUACCUGCAGCAAAUCUCUGCCUGAACAUCCAGGCAUUUCCAUAUAUCCUCUGAAAUCUAGGCAGAGGUUCCCAAAUCUCAAUUCUUGUAUUCUGCACACCCACAGGCUCAAUAACAUGUGGAAGCUGCCAAGGAUUGGAGCUUGCACCCUCUGAAGUAACAGCCUGAGCUGUACCUUGGCCCCUUUUAGCACCAGUUUCUGAGACCCAGUUUUCACAGGGUAAUGUGAAGAGGGAUAGUUAAACCUGCAUAAGCGGUAAGCUUCCUUACUGCAGAAAAAUCCCGAGUUUAUGUAUGCCCAUUAUUUUUAACUGUUCAGUUAGAAUGUUUAUUUUUUGCUCUUCAA